CCAGGCGGGCACUUAUCGCGUUAGCUACGGUACUGACCGCAUAAGGCCCACACCUACUGCACAGACGUUUACUGAGUGGACGACCAAGGUAGCUAAUCCUGUUCGCUCGCCACGCUUUCGCGCCUCACCGUCAGUUUAUAGCGAGGAGCUCGCCUUCCCCUCCGGUAGUCGUCCCGAUAUCAUACCGAUUUCACCCCUACACCCGGAAUUCUAUGCUCCCCCUCUCAAACUCUAGCCAGAUAGUUUCCUGCGCGGUCCCGCAGUUAAGCUGCGGUCUUUCUCACCAGACUUACUAGGCCGCCUACACGCCCUUUAUUCCCAAUAAUUCCUAACAACGCUUGCCCGUUACGUGUUACCGCGGCUGCUGGCAGGUAAUUAGCCGGGGCUUAUUCCCUAGUUCGUGUCAUCCAUGAGGCAUUACCUCCUCACCUUAUUCUUCCCCAGGAAAAGUGCUUUACAACGUUUCCGCCUUCAUCACACACGCGGCGUCGCUCCGUCAGACUUUCGUCCAUUGCGGAAGAUUCUUAUCUGCUGCCUCCC
rnacentral:rRNA from 1 species